UACGUAGGGGGCAAGCGUUGUCCGGAAUCAUUGGGCGUAAAGGGUGCGUAGGCGGCGCGGUAAGUCGGGUGUGAAAUUUCGGAGCUUAACUCCGAAACUGCAUUCGAUACUGCCGUGCUUGAGGACUGGAGAGGAGACUGGAAUUUACGGUGUAGCGGUGAAAUGCGUAGAUAUCGUAAGGAAGACCAGUGGCGAAGGCGGGUCUCUGGACAGUUCCUGACGCUGAGGCACGAAGGCCAGGGGGGCAAACGGG
rnacentral:rRNA from 1 species